GAGUUUAGCCAAGAAUGGGAGGAGAAACAUUGGACAAUACCAAGCGGAAAUGAGCUGAUCACAUCAAUGUAGAUCCACCUAAAUAAGACAACUCAAAAGAACUGUCUAACUAUCCACAAAGGAAAAAGCAAAAGAAUGAAGAAUAUCUGUUGUCCAGAUUAUGAUAUAUAGUAUAAUGUGUGACCCAGAAAGUUGGACAACAUACUUAGACAGACAUCAAAGAUGGUGAAGAGAUGACUAGGCCUUCAAAGAGAAUCACAACAAGGAAAACAAAUAUCAAGAAUCAGGCAAAGGAGAGAGUGCUACAGGAAUCACAAGUGAAAGGUGAUUGUGUGAAAUGGAAAAGGAGCCACCAAAAGGUCAAAGAGACCUUGCUAGGAGGAGAUAAGUCAUUUGGAACCAUGCAUCCUCACCUUCAACUGGACAAUUUUUGGAUCUUCUCUCUCCAACCACAGUUGUCAUCAAAUCAGCACAUCUAUAGCAUCUGGAAAGGGUGUGUCUUUUUUUUUUUUUUUGCUGAUCUCGGCAAUACAAGGAUCUAAGACAAUUCAAAAGGACCCAUAACUGAAAAAUGUUAUCCACCUCCAGGGAAAGAAUUGAUGGGGCAUGAAUAUGGAUAGAAGCAUACUAUUUUUCAAUUUAUUUUCUUCUUAGCUUUUUGUAUCUUUGUUGUUAUAUGAGUAUUUUUGCACAUAUGACAUGGAAAUGUAUUUUAUAAUGGUCACACAUGUGUAACCUAGAUUGUUUACCAUCCCAGUGAAAGGGGGGGAAAGGAAGGGAAGGAGAGACUUUGGAUCUAAAAAUUUUAGAAAACAAAUAUUAAAAAUUGUUAUUACAUAUAAUUAGGAAAAAAUAAAAUAUUAUGCAAAAAAAGAAAAGGUAUGCCA
rnacentral:lncRNA from 1 species